GUCUGGGAGGGAGAGAGGAGUAAAAGAAAUGACUUGCCAUAAGCGGUGAGAGCCCAGGCCAGGAACAAGGCACGAUCUCUGUGUCCUGUGGACUCCUCCCCUAAAGAGGCGGUCACCUAAGUGACUGGGAGGGAGGCUGCGGUGGUUCCGGGACCCCGGCGAGCUCCACGAACAGCAUGCUGGUGGCACUGACCAGCGAGCGGGUCACCCUUCGUCUGCAGCUCUGAAGGGGCACAGGAGGGUGGCCCCGACUGACACCCGUCUUGUGUACACGGCAAGGAUGAGCGAGGCCCCAACGUUCGAUCCAACUGAGGAGAAAAGCAUACGGUGGAAGUCCCCUGAGCCGUGAAGCUCUCUCUGCAUGUUGAUAAGAAAAGGAUCACUACUGGGCCGAGUUGGAAAUCGUGGGAAGCUCACCUUCCUGCCCUAGCUGCAAAUGUGUACUGCAGUUCAGUCACCCGGUUCAGUGUGAAGUUCUUUCGUGCCACCUGCAGUCACUUAGGGUGGAUCCGGCGUUCUGCCUUGCCCUGGUGGUGCCCCCGGCCUUGGCACAGUGGGCAGAAGAGCCCGGCGGUGCACUCAGGCCCACUCAGCGUGACAAGAGCACGUACUUGGGCAAACAACGGCCGCCCGCCCCCCGUUGCUCUCAAAAGAGGCCACCAAACUCCCCGUAUCUUUUCUGGCUCCACCGACAACUUUUUCUUGUCAGCUGUGAAAAAUGAGUCCCCCCCGCUCUACAGAAUUCUGCCAUUCAAGCGGCUGUCCUGUCUUCCAGUUCACUUCCCAUCCUAUCGGAGCAAAGGAGGUAUAAGACGCUUCAUGGAAAACGAAGGUCCCCUUGCAGGAAGGGAACUCACCGGCUGCCUUCGGGGGCCCAGCCUUCACCACACCGCCCUGGCCUGUCGGCCCCUCGGGCUCCUCUUCCUGUCUUUAUUAAUGCCGAGCCCUGGAGUCGCCCAUGUACGUGUUUCCAGUUCCCUUUCCACUGGGUCCCUCUCCUGGAAACCCACGCACUCGUCCUUUCACAUCAGGACUUCUGCCUCUGCUUUCACACGCGCCCUUCUGCUCUUUGCACAACUCCCCCCCCCCCCUCCUUGACCGACCUGUGGCCUGGUUCUCUUCUCCGGCCUCCUGCGGCACACCUGUCUACUCUUCCCGUUAUCUGGAGUGGGGAUCUGUUCGGCUUUGUUCUCCAUGUCUGUGUUCUCUCUCCGUCUAGUGAGUGUGUGAGUCGGGGAACGCACAAAGCACGGCUCUGACCCAAGGGCACUGAGAGAUGGCAGUGCCCUUCUCCCCUCCCUGCACCCUGGAGGACAGGAGCUGUGCUGUGCAAGACUCUGGGUCCCCAUGUCAUCGUGCCCAGGCACAGCAGCCGGUGCGUUUAGGGACUCGGGCACCAUCCGCUAGGUGACCAGCAGGGCGGGAGAAGGGUCUGGUUAGCAGAGUUAACAGCCUGCUGGUAUUACCAUCAGAGCAGGGGCACCCGAGACGCUUCGAGGGCAGUGGCUAGAACAGGAUGGGAACUUUGAGGUCUAACGCGGCACGGCCUACGGCCUGUUCUGCCAGUAGAAGAACGAACUAAAACGUAUAAACCAAGAAGAAUGAAGGUGGUAAGAAAUAAAAGAAACCCCUAAUUCUUUGGGGGAGAACACUCCCAGCAAUGCAUUUUUACUUCAAUGUCUGAUUAAGAAAUUCACUGGGGUUUGAUUGAUUUUUUUCGUAUCAAGAUAUCCCUUGUAACUUUCUACCUUUCGAAUCUAGCAAAAUACUUCACUAUCACUUCAAAAGGUGAAGUGGAUUACUGCCUCCGUUAGGUACCUCAUAAAAUACUUCGAACGGACCUCAUUUAACUCUGUCCCCGGGACAGCCUCACAACGCGGAAGAACAGCCCUUCAGGGGUACCUGUCACCAUGGCGGCGAUCGUCAGCAUCUCCUCUACGCAGUCGAAUUCACAGGACGCUAAGAUCGACUUUGAGAGUUGGGGGUCAAGAGGAAACUCCGACAUGAUGAUCCCAAACUCCGAGAGAUUCCCGUCAUUGUCCAGUGCCGCCAGGUAGUCCAAGUCUUCCAGAGCCUGCAUCAGACUUUCCGGCGCUAGCAAAGAAAAAAGCAGCGGCAGCUUACGUCAUCUACAGCCAAGAGGGCGUAACGUACUGGACCUCCCUUCCCGCACCUAACAACCCUACGGGGCAAAAUAUGCGAAACAACCGUUUGCGAGACAACGGACGUCGGGCCGUGAACGACAGUGAUUCCUGAGAGGGGGACGCUAAUGAGGUGAGCCCCGUGGCUGCCCAGCUUAAGGCCUGGGGAGAGUUUCCCGCCUGCAGUGCCAGUGGGGACCCAGGUGGGGCCUGCCAGACUCCCUGAGUUAUAAAGAUGGUGCUGAGCGUGUGGGGAGACUCAGGCGGCCAGGGCCUGCAGGUGGGGGAACACCUGACAGGAGAGAGCCAUAGACAGGACUCAGAAGAUCUCUGAAAGGUCCCCUCGAUGCAUCGGCAGAGCACGUGUAAGAAACUACAUCAGGCCGCAACAAGAACCAUCCAGACGAUCAGACGGACAGUGCCUGAUGCUCACACGGGAUCUAGGAUACUGUCCACUUCUACCCACUGGGCUGGGGAACCUCACAACUCAGGGGCCCUGGGCAGGAGACACGGAAGGGACGAACUACCCUCCGGACGUGCACCGCUCCAUUCCGCCAAACAAACAAAACCAGGAUCUGGAAGGAUCAUCCUGCAGCCAGGAUAAAGGUCAGGCAUAUUUAUAGGAAUACAGAAUAUCCAAUACCCAACACAGCAAA